GGGCGCGCGGCACGGCUCCCUCACGAGAUCACGUACACCCGGCGAACACCUGUCGGCCGGCACGUGUGAGCGACCUGAAGGCGGGCCGCGGGGCUCGCGUGGGUCCGGCCUCCGAGCGUCCCUCUGUGGGCCAGAGGCCAGUGGGCUGUCCACCGUGAGCGUGGCCUCUCUUCCGUCGUUCCUCCCGCCGGGGACUCUUGAGGUCCCUCCUGGGUGUCGGCUCCGGUGGGGACGCUGGGGCCACAGCCGUGAGCGCAGGGCCGACGAACCCCGGCCCGGCACCCUCGGUUCCGGGGGCUGCGCGACUUGCUGCCCGCUGGGACGUUCCAGGCAGGGGAGGCAGGUGCAGGGGGCGGGCGGGACCCGCACCUUUGUGGGGACUCUGGGAGGGGGGCUUGGCUCAGGUCUAGGUAUUUUAAAUUUUGGAGUUGGCUGGAGGGGCGAGGGCGGGGUGAGCGCUCAGGCGCAGCUCGUGUGGGCGGGAGCCUGUGGCCUGCAGCCAGUACUCGGGGCGGAGGGGGUGACCGCGUCCGACUCGGGGUGCGUGCAGGGCCAGCGAGGUCUGGUGGGGGGCGGCAGCCAGGCUGGACUCAGCAGAUGGGCGUGGAGGGGAGGGCCCGAGGUGGCGGGGAAGGCUGGACGCUGUCCACAAGGAAAGCCGCGAGUGGUCGGUGCGUAGAGCCCCUCUCCGGCCCCCUGAGAUCCCGAGGCAGUGGCAGGGCGGGAGCGGAAGCUGGGGUCCUAUGCUGUCCCCAGAGGCUCAGUGGGGGUGCGCCGAGGGGGAGGGCUCGCCCGGGGCCCCCGCUGCCGGGUCAGGGGAGUCGCGCGUUGGGGAGACUGCCACUGAUUGAUUCACUUGCAGGGAAGGGCUGGGGGCGCCCCUGCACGGGGGCGCGUGGCCGUGGCGCGGCGCGUGGAGGUUCCCGCUGCUGGCUUCUGUGUUUGGAGAGGGGAAUGAGCGCCGUGCGCUGGGCCCGGGAGCGCAGGAGGUGGCAGUGGGAUGGCAAAGCAGAAGAGAAAAGUUCUCGGAGGGACAGAGGAGCAGAGCAAAAAACGGAAGAAGGCGCCAGCAGAGGGGCCAGGGCAGGCCCCGGAAGCCAGGCCGGACGCGGGGGAGCCAGGCCUGCAGACAGGGCUGGGUGGCCACAUGCCCUGGCCUUGCCACUACACGUCACGGGCAGUGCCGGAAAGCAUGGCGCCUGGAACCCGCAGCCGUCCUGCUCACGAAGCCAGUGGGUCCUUAGGAAGCAGACGACCGUCUUGGAGGUGGCGAGCGCAGGACUUCGUGCGUGACAUCCACGUCUUUCUCCAGCUCGUCUUGGGGUGGCCGCCCCAACUCACCUGGCAUCUUUCGGCAUGAGCAGGUGGAGGUGGGCCCGGGACACGUGGCCUGGUGGGGCCUGUGCCCUGUUGGUGUCUCCUACAGUCUUCCCAGCCUGUUUGUCCACUCAGAAGAACUAGGGCAGAGUUGGAGACUGAACAGCUUUCUCUGCUGCCAUGGAGAUGUGACGGUCCCACCCUGGGCCAGAGCAAACGGGAUUCACUCCCUGCGGCGGCCACUGCGCCCCAUGGGCACCGGACACUCGUGAGCCCUGCGGUGCCCAGGUGAAAAUGACUCCGUGAGUGUAACAGAGACUCACGCCUGCUGCUUUUCCUGAGCUGCACAGUCUGUGUAGAGAAAUGGGGAGCCCCGAGGGAACCAGAAAAACGGGGGUCCCCCUGAGGUCGCCCCCAGCGCUGCCUCCGAGCCUGUCCCAUCCUCCCUCCGCUGCCGGUGGCCCUGUGCAGGGGUGGGAGGGGCGCUAUGGUUUCGUCCUCUGUGCCCCCAGUGUGACGGAGAAAGUGACGGCUCUCCCUGACACUGCCGGGGCCAGGCUUAGAGAGGUUUGUUUCGUUUUUGAAAGAUUUAUUUAUUAAAAAGUUACAGUGAGAGAGAGAAAGAGAAAGAGAUUGAUCUCCCAUCUGUUGGUUCACUCCCCAAAUGGCCACAAGGACCAGAGCUGAGCCAGGUGGAAGCCGGGAGCUCCAUCCGGGGGCCCGAGCACGUGGGCCUCCCCCUCUGCCUUCUCAGGCGCGUGAGCGGGGAGCUGGCUCAGAGUGGAGCAGCCGGGACUUGAACUGGUGCCCAUGUGGGCUGCCAGCGCUGCAGAUGGCGGCCUGAGCUGCUGUGCCACAGUGCCGCCCUUGGAGAGACGUGGUCGUGAUGAGCACACUCUGCCAUGGUUUAGAUGACACAGCUGUGUGACACGCGAGUCGACGUGGCACAUGGGCUGACAUGGAAAUGUUCCCUUUC
ensembl:lncRNA